ACUCCUACGGGAGGCAGCAGUGGGGAAUAUUGCACAAUGGGGGAAACCCUGAUGCAGCCAUGCCGCGUGUGUGAAGAAGGCCUUCGGGUUGUAAAGCACUUUCAGUAGGGAGGAAGGUAGUGUAGUUAACACCUGCAUUAUUUGUACGUUACCUACAGAAGAAGCACCGGCUAACUCCGUGCCAGCAGCCGCGGUAAUACGGAGGGUGCGAGCGUUAAUCGGAAUUACUGGGCGUAAAGCGCAUGCAGGCGGCCUGUUAAGUCAGAUGUGAAAGCCCGGGGCUUAACCUCGGAAUUGCAUUUGAAACUGGCAGGCUAGAGUCUUGUAGAGGGGUUAGAAUUUCAGGUGUAGCGGUGAAAUGCGUAGAGAUCUGAAGGAAUACCAGU
rnacentral:rRNA from 1 species